GGGGGCGUUCCUGGAUUCGACGGGGAUUGCAAGGCUCUAGGUGCAUGUCGAGGAUGAGAGAACCUCGUAAAACCCUUUCAAAAAUAUAGUUGCAAACGACGACAACUACGCUUUAGCGGCUUAAUCCCGCUUUCGCUCACCUAAAAAUGUCUGUGGUUUUAGCUUGAGCGUCAUUAACACAGAAUCGCGAAUAAUCGCGUCUACCGGUUAUUCGUUAAACUUAGUAGAAUCGUCUGAAAGAUGCCUGACCAUUGGCUGCUUGAAGACUAAAAUUUAAUCAAUGGCUCUAAGCAUGUAGUACCGAAAGUUGAGGAUUCGCGGACGGGGGUUCAAAUCCCCCCGCCUCCACCA
rnacentral:tmRNA from 1 species